AGUGAACGCUGGCGGUAGGCCUAACACAUGCAAGUCGAACGGCAGCACAGUAAGAGCUUGCUCUUACGGGUGGCGAGUGGCGGACGGGUGAGGAAUACAUCGGAAUCUACUUUUUCGUGGGGGAUAACGUAGGGAAACUUACGCUAAUACCGCAUAUGACCUACGGGUGAAAGCAGGGGAUCUUCGGACCUUGCGCGAUUGAAUGAGCCGAGGUCGGAUUAGCUAGUUGGCGGGGGAAAGGCCCACCAAGGCGACGAUCCGUAGCUCGUCUGAGAGGGUGAAGAGACAAACAGGAACUGAAGAACGGCGCAUACUGCGAAGGGAAGGGGCAUGGGGAAAGAUUGGAGAAUGGGGGGAAGCCUGAUCCAACCAAAACGGGUGGGGGAAGAAGGCCUUCGGGUUGUAAAGCCCUUUUGUUGGGAAAGAAAAGCAGCAGGUUAAUACCCCGCUGUUCUGACGGUACCCAAAGAAUAAGCACCGGCUAACUUCGUG
rnacentral:rRNA from 1 species